AACGAACGCUGGCGGCGCGCCUAAUACAUGCAAGUCGAGCGAGAAGACGUAGCAAUACGUUUGUAAAGCGGCGAACGGGUGAGGAAUACAUGGGUAACCUACCCUCGAGUGGGGAAGUAACUAGCCGAAAGGUUAGCUAAUACCGCGUACGCUCCUUGGACUUCGGUUCAGGGAGGAAAGCGAUACCGUGGGUAUCGCGCUCUUGGAUGGGCUCAUGUCCUAUCAGCUUGUUGGUGAGGAACGGCUCACCAAGGCUUCGACGGGUAGCUGGUCUGAGAGGACGAUCAGCCACACUGGCACUGCGACACGGGCCAGACUCCUACGGGAGGCAGCAGUAAGGAUAUUGCGCAAUGGGCGAAAGCCUGACGCAGCGA
rnacentral:rRNA from 1 species